rnacentral:rRNA from 1 species
UACAGAGGAUGCAAGCGUUAUCCGGAAUGAUUGGGCGUAAAGCGCACGUAGGCGGCUUUGUAAGUUAGAGGUGAAAGCCCAGGGCUUAACCCUGGAAUUGCCUUUAAGACUGCAUCGCUAGAAUCGUGGAGAGGUAAGUGGAAUUCCGAGUGUAGAGGUGAAAUUCGUAGAUAUUCGGAAGAACACCAGUGGCGAAGGCGACUUACUGGACACGUAUUGACGCUGAGGUGCGAAAGCGUGGGGAGCAAACAGG